rnacentral:rRNA from 1 species
AUUGAACGCUGGCGGCAGGCCUAACACAUGCAAGUCGAGCGGAGCGGCGGACGGGGGAGGAAUGCCUAGGAAUCUGCACGGUGGUGGGGGAUAACGUCCGGAAACGGGCGCUAAUACCGCAUACUAUAAGAUUAGCCUAGGUCGGAUUAGCUGGUUGGUGGGGUAAAGGCCUACCAAGGCGACGAUCCGUAACUGGUCUGAGAGGAUGAUCAGCCACACUGGAACUGAGACACGGUCCAGACUCCUACGGGAGGCAGCAGUGGGGAAUAUUGGACAAUGGGCGAAAGCCUGAUCCAGCCAUGCCGCGUGUGUGAAGAAGGUCUUCGGAUUGUAAAGCACUUUAAGUUGGGAGGCGUUACCAACAGAAUAAGCACCGGCUAACUUCGUGCCAGCAGCCGCGGUAAUAC